ACAGUUCAAGUUCCAAGUUACUUGAAGUACAUUUAUACACGUGCUCACUGCUCAAUCAACGACCUCAUCGCCUACCCAUGCACGCACACGCAUGUAGAGAGGACGUCUACUUGAAGUAGUAUGGGAGGUCGAGCACGUAGAGGAGGAAGUAGGCCCAGACCACGCCGGAGAUGCCGCCGAAGAAGAAGCCUCCGGUGAACUUGGCCCAGCCGUCGGCGGUCUGCAGCUUGUCGGCCUCCUUCUUGCGGCCGGUGAGCGUGAGCGUGGGCGCCGUGGACGGGUCGCCCUCGUUGAAGGAGGCGACGCCGUACAUGGUGAGGCAGACGCUGAGGAUGGUGACGAGCCCGGCGGCGCCCAGGGCGCCCGCCUGGCCGUGCACGGGCGUGUUGCGGAGCGGGCCGGUGAGGGCGAAGGGGCCCACGAGGAGGUAGCCGUGCGCAAGCCCGACCUCGAUGCCGCGGAGCAGCGGGCUCACGGCGGUGCGGUAGGCCGGGAGGUUGGAGAGGUACCAGGCGAUGAGCGGGCUGGAGGUGAUGGGCGUCUCCAGGCUGCCGAUGAAGGGGUCGCCGUUGAUGGGCUGCACCACCUGGUACGUUGUCUGCUCAAGAACAACAGACAGUUUCUAUCAUCAGAGCCAAAGAAUUUUGUUUGAUCAUACAAAGAUAUAUUAUUGAAUUGCUAAUGUUCAGAGCAUCAAAUUGUAUAUCCAAUUUCCAGUCCUGUGAGAUAGAUCAAAAUGAAUCACACAAGAUGACUGAACUGAAAUCAAGAUUCUAGCAGCAGCACACAUGCAAAGAACUGAUCGAUUUGGAAGCAUUUUGAAUGAAAUUGAUAAUUCAUGUUGCCUAUAGCCAAGAGCCAAAUCGAUCAAAACUAUAAAAAAGAUGCAUCACUAUUUCGUUGCUCAGUAGAUCCACUGACCUUCUCAGGCUGGAUGGCCUUCACGGUGAAGCGGGGCCGCCUGGUCAGCGCAGCGCCUGAAAGGCCCCUGGGCCUCGAGUGCACCAAGCCGCUCUUCAUCACCUGGCUCGCCAUGGGAGCGUACGCGGUAGCCAUCUCGACCUCUGCCUGUCUCUCACGAACAGGGCUCUUCCUUCCUGCAAAAUGGUAGAAGAGGUCUCCUUGUAUCGGCCCAAUUAAAGUUUGUGAUCUUUAGAUCCUGCAGGGGGUGUGUGAGAAGAUCUGUGGCGUGUUUGGAUGGAUGGGGCCCUGCAGCUGAGAUAUGGCUCAGAGCUGUGUGGCGCUCAUUGGGUGAAAGGAGUGAGCAACCCUAUCCCUUAUCCGAAUGCGUGGAGAUCUCCUCCCUCCACUGGACGCCUAGCUGGCGCCCCCAGCUUGCUGCCACGUGGAAACAGAAUCUGCUGUGCUUGUGACUUGGACUUCGUUUGGAUCGAUACUGAAGCAAUAUUUAUAUCUGCAGAAAGCAGAGCUGUUUGCGUUUUGGAAUCAAACUUCAACAAUACCAGCUCCCAAUAACCAAGAUCCUUCCUGUACAAUAUAACAAAUAUAUUUUGGGACUUUGUCAAUUCGACCUCAGGUUAGCAUAGUACUGCACAAACAAAAUUCAUAUAGAAGGAAACUCUUCCACCAGACUAUAUAUUGCCUGCGGUGACAAACUGCUUCAGAUGAAAAGAACUAUGCAAUCAAGUAAUGGCUCAGACCAGUGUUCAAUAAAUUUCCUCUUACAAAAGAAUCACUCACAUCGAGGCAUCAAGGCAUAAAAGAAUCAACAAAUGCCCUGUGAAUGGUUUACUACUCUCCAGCAGUUCAUGCUCCAGCAAAACUCAAGGGCCUGGGAGGUCGUUCCCAGUCCCCCAGAUGCUAUCUGACAUCGUACUGUAGGCGCUUGCUUUUCUGAAGACAGUCGUGGUAGCGGUAGAUGAGUCUCAGCAUGCAAUCCCUCAUGCAGGUGACAUCGAAGGAUUCAAUGAACCUCAGGUCUGACAAGCGGGAUUUGCCAGCAGCAUAGCGAUGGUACUCUUCAAAGACAGAUGAUAGGCACCAAUUCUGCAGCUUCCUGAAGCUGCCCACCAGACAUCCAGUGCGGUGCUGGAGUCAUGACAGAGAAAUCAAAUUCAAAGUCAGGACCAAAAAAUCAAGAUUUGAGGCAAUGAGAAGAGAAAAUAAAAGAACCAUCAAUUUAGAAUAAAGAAAUGCAUUUAUUGGUACCUUUCCUCUUUUGCAGUGGAUUAAAACUGGGUGAUUCCUAACAUCUGAGAACCAUAAAAGAGAACGAGUUACUGAUGGGUCAAAAUAGUUCCAUAUGAUCAUUUAACAUUAUUGGUCGACAGCAAAGACAAAUUGGAAAAGAUGGAGCCUAAUUCAGUACCAAGCAAGACCCUAAGAGCCCCCACGAUGGCAUCCACAGGUAUGGACACGUAUGGGUCCUGCAGAUGCAAACAUUUAAAUGUGCUGAACUUGCUGAUAUUGGAAUUCAAAAGAUCAGCAGACAACAAUAGUUGCUUCAAAUGAAAUUAACAGGAAUUAACAAUACAUAGGUCCCAAGUCACAGAUUCGUAAGGUGUAACAACAAGAAUCAAAUAGAAGUCAGACACUGUGUACGCACAAGAAACUGCAUGUCUGUUUUCAGUAAUGCAGUAUCUGAAAGUGUACAAUACCAGAAGAAACAAACUGAUCCUUGACAAGGAAACUGUAUCCAUCUGUACCUGCAACAACUUAUUCAUAACUGUGGAUAAAGGGAGACAGAAUUUUGUAGUAGUCCUGCACUUGGAUACCAUAAUAGGUAAUUUACCAUCCACAUUUGCUUCCAAAUAGGCAAACACCAGAUUAAUGAGCACCUCAAAAACCAGCACAGCGGCAUUCAAACAAUAAAAUUAACAUUCAAUGUAUCAGAAUUUGGAAAUUUAUCUGUUGAUUAUCCACACCACUGCAUCUUUGACAAUUGAUGUUAAGAAUGUCCAAUGGUCUACUUUCCUAAAUUUUAUUAAGGCAAAGUAUUAAAAAUAAGGGAGGCAUCUGAUGCCUGCUCAACUGACAACAAUAAAUACCCUUGCGAAGGUACAUGGAUUCCUUUUACACAGUAAAGAAAAGCUAACUAUAACCACCAUUCAAUGUUCUAAAGCAGUAUACCUUUGGAUCCAUAGAUCUAUCUUAAGAACUACAAAGCAUAUAAUAUAAGUGUACCGAUGUAUUUAUCUUCAAGACUGCAUACCUUUUGCAGUUGAAAUGCAAGUAUAAGCACUAAUUAUCAUUACCUCCAAGUUUGCGCUCUAAUUGGACAAUCCAACUUAAAACUAUCCUAUGACUGGAGGAGUGACUACCAAAGCUUCACAUAAUCCCAUCAGAUUUACCAAAGCAAAAAACAAUAGAAAAAACAUAUAGCUGUGCUGAGUUUUCCUUUCCCCCCAAAGAGCACAUUGAAUUCCACUACUGCCAGAGCGCAAUCGAGGUAAUCAAUCAAUUAAGUACUACGAACAACAUAUCAAAUAAACACGCAAUCUCAUAAGAAUCUAAGGGGAAAACGAGACAUAUAAUACACAAGGGAAGAAAAUAGGAAAUCAGACCCACCUUGGUGCCUUCAAUCCCGAACUGGAAGAGGCGGAUCCCCUCGGCCUUGAGGAACGCGGCGUUGGGCUCCGGGUACGGCUCCGGGCACAGGUACCUGCAGCACCGCCGCGUCAGCCACGGAGAUACGACGGCCCAUAUCGCCACCAAACACGACGCAGGAGGGAACCAAACGAACCGAUCGCAUCCAAUCCAAUAAUUCCAAUCUAACAAUUUCGAUUCGAGGUGGGGGGAUUUCGGCGGCUCACACGACGGAUCGGAGGCCGAGCCCCCGGAUGAAGCCGAAGCUGGCGGCGUCGGGGAAGCCCGAGCGGUAGACCCCCGCGUCCACCAUCCCGAAGUUGGCCGGCGGCGCCACCAGGCCCGUCCCCGCCCCCUCCUCGUCGACCUGCUCCAGGAUCAUGCCUGCCUCCUGGCCCGGCCCCGGCCGGGGCCCCGCCGAUCCGAGGGCGGGUUCGGCGGCGGCGCCGGAGAUCGCGGGGGACGGGAGCGCGCGAAGGGCGGGCGGCUAAGGGCUAGGGCUGGCUCGGUCUCCGCGAGGUGAGGGACGGAUCGCAACGGUCGGCUCGGUCGCCGUGGGGACGGACGGGCGGGGGCGGGGGUGGGAAUGGAAGGGCCCGUGGGCGAUGGGCUGGGCUGACCCGCCGCCUGCCUCUCGUCACGGCACGGGGGACUGGGGUGGGGUGGGGACGUGGGGUGGGGCGCGCGGCCGCACGGGCCCUUCUUGUACGGGUGGCCGGGUGGGCGGGUCAGUGGGAAAAGGUGACGCCUGAGUCCUGACGCGGGAGGAAGGCUCCGACACGGUGCGGCGGGGCUCGGUGGGUGGUGGGGUGGUGUCGUCGUCUCGUUGGGAGGAAGGGGAUGCGGUUUCCAGAACCCAGAGAGGGGUUUGGUUUGGUGAGGCGACGCCUGUAGUUUCGUACGGGCAAUGCAAUCGACGAGCGGGGGAUGUUUGUAAAGGAUCGCAUCCGAUGUUCGGAUGUUAAUGAGAAGGAUUAAAAUAUAAAUUAAUUAUAAAAUUAACUGUACAAAUGGAAUCUAAUUCGUUAAUUAUAAAACUAAUUGUACAAAUGGAAUCUAAUUCGCGAGACGAAUCUAUUAAGGCUAAUUAAUCCAUCAUUAGCAAAUAAUUAUUGUAGCAUCACAUUAUCAAAUCAUGAACUAAUUAGGUUUAAUAGAUUCAUCUCGCAAAUUAGACUCUAUCUAUGCAAUUAAUUUGUAAUUAGACUGUUUAAUACUUUAAUUAGUAUCAAACAUCCGAUGUGACAUGUGAGGCAGGGUAUCCAAAUAAACUAGGGGCCUGUUUGGAUACAGGCUCAUAAAGUUUAGUACCUGUCACAUCGGAUGUUUAGAUACUAAUUAGGAGUAUUAAAUAUAGUCUAAUUACAAAACUAAUUACACAGAUGGAGUCUAAUUCGCGAGACGAAUCUAUUAAGUCUAAUUAGUCCAUGAUUUGACAAUAUGGUACUACAGUAACCAUUUGCUAAUGAUGGAUUAAUUAGGCUUAAUAGAUUCGUCUCGCGAAUUAGUAUAGGGGUUCCGCAGUUAGUUUUAUAAUUAGUUCAUAUUUAGUCCUUCUAAUUAGCGUCCGAACAUCCGAUAUGACCCUCCUCCUAAAAUUUAAAGUUUAGUACAUCGCAUCCCCUAAAAAUUUAAAGUUUAGUACAUCGCAUCCCCUAAGUUUGCGUUAAUUUCAGGAACCGGCUAACGUACGGCCUGUGCAUUUCGGGCAACCAGGUUAUCAAGCUUUUGUCCGCUUUCUUUUUAUGGAAAAUACUUCCACUACAUUUCAAAAGCACAGCCACGGGUGAUCCAGAAACAGAAGAAAUUGCGUAAACAAAACAUGCAAUUCUAUUUAAAAUAUGCAUAUGAUCAAGUAUACACCACAUGAUUCACAACUGCAAAAUAUCAUAAACCUAGCAAUUUGGUUUUUGAUAGUCUAUUUACACAAACAGAUUUGCCUCUCCUUCAUCCCUUCAAUCAAAAAUUGAACAUUCAUGACUCGUGAUUGUGCGGGCAUCUCACAAAAAAAGAACUACCAGCAUAUUAUCAGAGUGCACAUUACUAUACUUCGUACUUGCACAACUGAUGAGCUCCUUUCGUGACCUGCCAUACAGCAAGAAAAAAUGGGACUACAUCAGUUAACAUGGACAUAAUAAAAGGGCAAACAAAUAAAAAUAAGUUGGAUGACCUGAAGAACUAGCAUGUGUAUCCUAAUUAUCAACAGAGGCACUCCAAAUAUAAAAUGUCAUCAGAAAUUGGAUGUUUUGCUUGUUUCGUAGCCAAAAAAAAUGCCUAACUAAAAAUAUUACUUUGCCUAACUAAUAAGAGUGUAUUGCCUAGGCACAGUAAGUAAAUGGCAUUUCAAUAAUAAAAUGAUGCAAACCAAUCUGCGACUAUCAAACUGCUGAAUUGAAUAAGAAAAUAAGGACCAAAGAACUGCACAAACAAGCUUAACAGAUAAGCCAAAAUCAAAAUUGUUUCCGAUGUGGUUGAGCAAAAUCAACCAAACCCACAUGCAGAUACAAUUGGAAAUCAACCACAGAUCAAACCGAAAGCAAAUGGCUGCAAGCUGCUAUGGGAACACAGAUCAAAAUGAGAGCAGAGGACAUGCUAAGGAAACAGAUGGGCUACUAAUCAAACAUCGAGCCUUGUACUGCUGGUGCCAAACAGUGCAAGUAUAAAUAACUAAACUACUCCCAAACCACUCCAAUAGUUGUCACAACUAAACUACUUGAAAAGAUAAAUCAGAAAUAUUUCCUUACCCCCACCUUUUACAUCCACAUCAAUAUCCAUUAUCAACCGUAGUUACUCAAGCUAGUCAUCUAGCUAUCCAACUCAGUACCGCAAAAAAGCAAAAUAACAGAUAGGCAAAACUAGUGAUGCUUAUAUGAUAAAAAAUGCAGGAUCUAGCGCAAAUGCUGCCAUGCCAGGAAAAAAGCCUACAUAUAAUUGAGGGUGAAAAACAUGACAUAUCAUUCCGGUUAAAUAUACGUGCUUGAAUAUCAGAAUCAGAAUGACACAUCACACAUAUCACAUCCAGUUCUGCAAGUGACUAAGAAUAGGACAAAACACUAGAAACAUGUUUUAUCUAAAUCAGGAUAUGUAAAUUGCUUAUCGGAAGCAUUAAAAUGCUAGAAGGACUAAGAUAAUUGCCAAUGAAAAACAAUUAGCAUACUAAUUUGAACAUAGAAAAUGAAAACCUUUUUGGGGGGCACAUAUGACACUGGAUGAUAGCGCACAUCCAUGUGCAUCUACAGUCCUAUAGGCAUUAUAUCAAAUCUCUGGGAAAAAAAAUCUGUAGUGAAAAUUACCAGAAUAAAAAUUGAGUAUGGUGCUUGGGUUAUAGGUGACAUUUUAGUUCUAGGUUACAUUGUAAAAAAAUCAAGUGGUUGUCUAGUGGAUAAAAAGCCAAUAGCACAAAAGCACCAAGCACAAAAUUAAUCAGUAGAAAGCCUGAACAAAAUAGAAUAUCGUGAGAACACUGAAAAUGCUAAUAUCACAACACAAAAACUCAGCUUAAAAACCUAACUUGCAAACUCAUACCAGAGCAUGAAAUUAAGCAGAUAAAUAAAUCUCAACCACCAAGAAACCAAUACUAAGUUGUUCAUCGGGAUUUAACAAAGUUGACAGGCAGCGUAAAAGAAAGCUAAUAGACAAAACUCUGCUGACAGAUUUUUUUUACUGCUUCAAGUUUGGUGCUCAAUCUUCUGUCAUCCAAACAAUCACGUUCUAUGCAUGCAUAUUGUAUAUAUUCAAAAAAAUAAUUUACCUGCACAUUUUAGCCCACCAAACCAUUGCCAUAUCGAGCUAGUAGUACUGCAGUAGUACCAGAAUUUAGUAACUAAUUUCUCAUGUUAAAAUUCUAAGCAUGAAUCUAGAUAUAUUUGAAAAAACUACACCUUUUAUCCCAAAAAAACCAUUGCCAUCUCAAGCUAGAAGUAGUAUCUACCAGAAGUUAGUAACUAUCUCAUGUUAAAACUUGUUCGAGCUUAGCAUAAACACUGCAUCAAACAACCAAGACAUGCACACACUUCAGCUAACACCUCUCAAAAUGGUAUAUCAACACACCUCAUGUCUUACUGCUCUUUGGACUAUUUGUUAAAGAUCAAUAUCAGAAAUGUCAUGAUAAAAAAUAGUUGAGAAUCAAAGCUGCUCACCAAUAUUACUACCAUACAAUCUCAACUACCUAUUUUUCCCAAUUAUCUCAGUUGAUAUAUUGCUCAGAAAAAUAACCAAACUGUGCGGCAACUGAAUUGUGAACCUACGGACAUGACGUCUGGAGCACAACCGGCAUCCGCAUGAAUACAGUGGUGAUUUGCAGCACGAACUCCCUCCAUGUCAACCACUGUGUCCCAGAGCAGAUCUCGUAGCACCAUGGCAUGCUCGUCUCCACCCUUGGCGCACCUAACAGCACCACCAUCAGAAGUUAUAAAACCUGAAACACGCCUCAAAAUAGAGGAGAACAGACAAGGGGACUCCAGCAGAGAGUAUGCGAGGUACGGAAUCAUGGAGACCUCGUCGGCCAUGGCUUCGUCGACCUCCUCAGCGAGCCAGAGGAAGCUCUCUCGUUAGAUUGCGAUGGAGCUUCGCAUUGCCGUAGUCGUCGCCACCGAUUUCUCCUCUUUGCGCGGGGCCGGGUAUAGCCAGAUCCGGCGAGGCGGAGGGCAGGGGACGCGCAAGCCUCGUCGCCGCGUCAGCCACGGCGUCGUCAACCUUGUCAGCAAGUCUGGAGAGGCUCUCUUGGAGGAUCACGAUGAAGCAAGCUGGAUCCGCCAGCCCCAAAUCCCUGAACCCUAACCCGGUCUUGCCUCAAUUAGAGGGAGGUAGGAGGGAAUGAGGAAUAGCAGCAGGAGGAGGAGAACCGACCUCAUCGCCAAUCAUCGCUAUUAGCCAUCAGAGCUCCCCGAAACGCCAUGGAUUUGGAAGAGAGCUUGCGGGAGGGGGAAGAACGGGAGGAGCAAGGAAACAGAAGAGACACGGGUGGGAGAACGGAUAAGGUUGAUGGCCACAUGCGUGUGCAAAUGUUGCGUGGGGAGUAGGGCUGCGGCCGUGCACUGAGCCAAUCUUACGGCCGGCCGGUAGUUUAAAAUUAAUGAAGAUGCUUGUUGCUAUUAAACUGGAAUGUUGGUUGUUGGUUUUAGAAUAAAUGGUGGGUGCAAGAUGGUUGCCAGCCAUCAUCCAAAUCAAAAGAUAGAAUUUAAUGGUUCUUGGCCGUUUUCUCUGUCUCGUGAUGGCGCGCUGCAAACACAUGGUUUUCGAGUACUUUUGGGAAAAAGAAGAUUCUCAAUUAAUACAUGAUAUUCUCCGUCAAUGGUAAAUAUCUCAUGCAAUAGUUAUUAGACAAGAAAUCGCUUAAAACAACAUCGUAUACAAUAAGAGUUUGAUAAACACGCAAGUACUUGUUGGGAAAAAAAAACAAUAAACACGCAAGUCAUGUUACAAUAUUGAUGAUGAUAUUCAAUUUAUUUAGGGGACAUAGUGACAUAUGUUACGUAAAUUUUGUAACCUAUUUUAAUAUAUGCAAGGGCUUCCGUUUGUGAGUCUGUAGACCAUGUUUUCGUUCUUCAAUUAUCAACAAUAAUUGUUGUGCUAUUUUCUUCAUGUCUGGACGAUCUUUGAUGUCGGUGCUCAGAUAUUUAAAUGCAAGAUUGAAGAUAUCUUCAAUAACAACCUCCUCUUCCUUUUUUGCAAUCUCCUCAUCAACCAUAUCAUUUACUAUCUGUUUUCCUUUAAUGAAGCAAGAACGGAAGUAGAUAUGGUGCAAGUUCAUUCUCCACAAAAUCAUCGCAUACCUUCCUCCUAGUGAUGAGUUCUACUAGUACAACUCCGAAACUAGAGGAUGCCUUCACACUUGAACUUUGGACCAGCAUACCCAUUGCUAACUUCUUUUUGCGAGAUUCGUGGUUCUGAAGCAGAAGGUUGAUGAUACUUCUUGUAAUUAUUGCUUUGAGAGGCUCCAUUGCUCAAUGAAGAAGAUACUUGAUUCACAUGCCCAAGUCCAUGACUUAACAUUUGGGGUAUGUUGCCAUGAGUGCUGUGAGGGAUUCCUCCAGCAUUUUAUGCCCCAUAGAGAUGUUCUUCCUUUCGACAAAACUGAGAACCCCUAAAAGAAAUAAAAAAAGUGAGAAAAAUUAGGCUUAAUAGAUUCGUCUUGUCGAAGCCUAAUUUUUCUAAGACACAGUCCCAUGAGAACUCACGCAACACAAUCAGAAUGAGGAUGAGCAUGAUGCCAUAGUUUUUAGAGUUUUGGGCCUUGGCCCAAAUAAAUUCCAGAUAAAUUUUAAAGAUGUGUACUAAAAUUUUUCAGGUGGAUGGUAACCUAUUUUCACAGUGUUCUACCCGCUUAUGAUCCAAGGACUACGCAAGCGGAAAAUUGACCUCUUGUGGUAAGCGAUUAACACAUGUUGUUCACUUAGGGAACAUAUGUGAAAAAUAUGAUUUUUCACAUUUGGUCUACAUAAGGAACCUCAUGUGAUAAUCCUAUUUUUCACAUGUGGUUCCUUAAGUGGACCCAGAUGGUAAUCAUUCCAAAACCUUAAACAAAAGCACCCACACGAAUAAGCUCCAUUGUUCUUCAGCCACCAUCGCACUCGGUCCUACGUGGUAUCGAGGAGCCUAUCUAGAUCCAAACACAAUGAUUAGAUCUCACUACCCUGCAUCCCUUGCAUACUACUCCCUCCGUUUCAAAUUAUAAGUCAUUCCAACUUUCUUGGAGAGUCAAAGCAUCUCAAGUUUGACCAAAUUUAUACAAUAAAGUGCUAACAUUCAUGAUAUCAAAUAGGUACCAUUAGUUUCUUUAUUAAAUAUAUUUUCAUAGUAUAUCUAUUCGGUGCCAUAAACUUUUGUGAUUUUCUCUAUAAUUUUAGUCAAACAUAAAAAUGUUUGACUCUCCAAGAAAGUUGGAAUGACUUAUAAUUUGGAACGGAGGGAGUAGUUCUUAGAUUUGCCUACCUCCGCUAUUGACGAGCUCGCGAUCCACUCCCACAUGGGACGAGGACACAAACGCUACUGAGCUCAUGAAUAUGACCAACCUCCGGAGCACCACCACCACCCAUGUGUAUGAAGUCAUGGAUCCCAGGGAAAACUUUUUCUGUGAAAUUUCAGAGAAAUAUCCAAAAUACGUGUUUAUCAGUAGGUCCCAUAAUUUUUAUCUACCAAAAUUUCAUAUACUGAAACUAUCUAAUAUAUUAAACUUAUGAUAUAUUGCCUUAUUUCUUUGUUGUUACAUACAAUGUUAUGUUAUGAUAUAUGCUAGUUUAGGGACCAUUUCUAGCGAAAUUAUGCAAAAAUAAAUUUUAAGAAAAAAAUUAUCUGAUAUGUUUCCAUCCGAUAAAUUUUAUUUCCUAAUUUUUUUAAGGGCAAACUAUGGGGAACUUCCCCACGGCACUUCAUUUUCAUUUCAUUAUAAAAGAGAUGAAAAAAGUGCAGGGGUAUACUUACAUAUGGAAGAGAAAUAUUUACAAGAAAGGGGAGAGGUGGAUUAAGCUAUGUAAUUGUGUCUAGCCAUGGUAAAACUAUUAGUCUAUGGUCCUCCCUGACACGGUGCAGCUGAAGGACUACUUGCUCCUUGAAUCUCACGACCCAAAGACGUGUUGACACUGUUUUCCCCUCAAAGAUGAUUGCGUCGUUCCUCAUCUUCCAGAUUUCCCAAGCGGCAGUUAAGAAGAUUUCCAUAAAGAAUGGUAGAUGAGAAGCGUCUUUUUGCGAUCCUUACACGGUCAUGUGUAUCGGCUUGGUUACCCCCAGGUUAUAUGCAUAGUGUUCCAGCACCUUACAGAGAAGGGGCACUCAAAAAAGAGAUGGUCUCGCUGCCCCGCGUGCACGUCGACAAGCUGGUGAUCUGGAGCAGUCAAUAGCUUGGCAUUCUAUGCCUUCGCUUUCCAGAGUACCGAUUGGUUACGGAUCACCAACAAUUAUAUAGCUCACCUGUAAUUACUUUGAGCUGCUCUUAGUUUCGCAGAUUCUAAGGCACUGAGAUAAGUUCUCUACAAGGCCCUGUUUGGAAGACUGGUUUUCAGCCUAAAACCGGUGUAAUUUACGGAUCCAGAAUUUUUUCCAAGCUCAACGUGUAAGCCCUUGUUUACUUCGCGAAUUUGGGAGGUGCCAAAUUACUGUAGCAACACUGUAGCGUUUCGUUUGUAUUUGUGAAUUAUUGUCCAAAUAUUGACUAAUUAGGCUCAAAAGAUUCGUCUCGCAAAGUACAACAAAACUGUGCAAUUAGUUUUUGAUUUCGUCUACAUUUAGUACUCCAUGCAUGUACCGCAAGUUUGAUGUGAUGGGGAAUCUUCUUUUUGCAUAGUGUAAAAGUUGGGAGUUUGGAGGUAAGAGAACAAGGGCUAAUUGCUGUUUGGAUAGCAAGUAAACCUAUUUAAAUUACCGUCGGAUUAGCCAGUUACAACCGGAAAUAAAAAAUCUCCUCCGGUGACAACAGUUUUUAUCCGACAAGUAUCGGGCUCCCUCCGCUCGCUCGCUCUGCGGCGGCCACCGGCUCCAUCCUCUCCCUGCUCCGCCCCGUCUGCCGUAGCCGCUAGCUCCAACCUCUCCCUGUCAACGCCGCGCCGCCGCCUGCUCCGCCCCGUCUGCUGCAGCCGCCAGCUCCAACCUCUCCCUGUCAACGCCGCGCCGCCGCCUGCUCCGCCCCGUCUGCUGCAGCCGCCAGCUCCAUCCUCUCCCUGUCAACGCUACGCCGCCGCCCAAUCUUCAGGUGCGGUACUGCCGCUGCUGCGGCCAGCGCCUCCUGCAUCUCAUCUCUACCCAAUCAGAUGCGCCAUCCGGGUCGCUGCUUCUCCGUCGGCGAGCUCCAGAAGUGGUCCUUCCCCAAGUUUGCAUCCGCCGCCAUCGAAAUUUGAUACUCGAUGCGAAUGCUUUUGAUGAAAUAAUGGGCUUGGCCCAUUCUAAUUUUAAAAAUUCCAAAUAAAUAUCAAAAAGUCCAUGUGGUCAUGAGCAAGUGGUGGAGUGGUGCAAUCUUUUAGUUCCAAAUGGCCAACUUAAAUAUGAAAGUUAUCUCUACUCCUCCAAGCUAUGUGUGUGCGGAGAGAAGGAAAGCUCCACGCGCGCUCGCUCGCCACGCCACGUGAUGCGGCUCCUGCGUGAAUAGUCCGCCGAAAUCUAGCCCCUCGCCUUGCGGGGUGCGGUUUCCUUUUGCCGUUUUAUUUUUUGUUUACUUGCCCUUUAAGUCAGCGAGAUAUAUGGAAGUCUAAUCAGUUUAGAUCACGAUCGCGACGUGAGAUAGUGGGCUCUCCUAUAUAUAUACAACCUAUCGGUCUCUACCAAAAAUAUAUCUAAUCGAGCUAGGGUUUUUGCCUCUUCUCACUGCUGCGCCGCUACCGUAGUCUACUCCAUCCCGAGCGCCAGCGUGCACCGGCGAACGGGAAAGCGGGUCUCCGAAACCUCUCGCUCCUGUGAUCCUGCACUGGGAGAGAGCGAAUAAGGUUUUUGGGAAGCGCUCCGCAUGACUGCUCAAGGUCUUCACCACAGCUUGUCUUCCGUCCCAGUCCGGCGUCGCGGCGGCCCAUGGUCUUCGGCGUCAUCUGCUGCGCUCCGUCUGCAACACCGUCGUCGUUCCGUCAGCACCGCUUGCUAUCACAGCUGCAUCCGCAAAGCACGUACGUCGUGAUCCAAUCUGUUAUUUCAGCAUGUUUUCUAAGAUAAUGAAGUUGUGCUUGCUAUUACCUAGUAUGUUAGAUAAUUACAUGCUAGGUUUUAUUCAUAUCAUAAUAAAUCUAGUUUGGAAAUUAAUCAUGCAGUUGUCUAAUUUUUCAACAGCUUUGAGGUUCAAGCCUCCAAUUCGAUGCUCUGGUCGUGAGAUACCUCUUCAGUGCAGCUCCUAUUUGUUGCUCUGGUUUGAAAUUUUUUUGGAAGUCUAAUCAGCCGCUAGGAUUGCUUCAGCUCUCCGGGAGUGGCUCCCUUGCUUCUUUCUCUUUUUUCCCCUUUCUUUUUCGUUCAAUUUGACGUUUGAAAGGAGGCUCCAUGAUUUUACACAAACAGCUAGUUUAGAACAACUCCAAGAGCUCCCUUAACCUACACCAAAACCUUAAUUGGGGAAAAUAGUAAAAAAUAUUGCUCCAACAGGUCCCCUAAACCUCCCGCAAAUUUGCGUUCACCCGCAUCCGGAGCUAUUUUUCCUGUAAAUACACACGGCGCACCUCCUUCCCCAAUCCAUCCACUCACGCCUACUUGCGCCUUUUUUCCCACGCGCGCCAUUUUCCUGAGUGUCUUCGGCGGUGGCAGCGCCGUUCCUUACCCUUGCGGCCACGGCACCCGGGCUUCCCCGAGCGGCGGCGUCGCUGGCCUGUCCUCCCCGAGCGGCGGCAGCGCCCGGCCUUUCCUCCCCGAGCGGCGGCUAAGCCGGCGGCCGGCCCUGUCCUCCCCGAGCGACGGCGGCGUCGGGGCUGUCCUCCCCCCGGCGGCGACCGGCCCUAUCCUCCCUGAGGGCCGCGACAGGAAGGGCCGCACUGUUCUCUGGAUCAUCGGUAACUAGUUCCUAGGUACGUAUCAGAUUUUCCCCAAAUCACAGGCUUCUAGGCUCCAGCAUAUACUGAUGGACCAUGCCUCUAUUUCUAUGUGCAGCUCGAGGCGGAGGAGGCACUACAGCGGCGCCCGGCCUUCCCCGAGGUCUUCUCGGGCGGUAGCGGCGCAAGUUCCCCAGCAGCGGCGGCGCCAGGCCUUCCCGGGCGGCAGUGGCGCAAGAGGCCCGUAGAAGGAGCCACCAAUGUCAAGUGCUCCAAUCCGGCAAGUUCAAGAUCGGCACGACAGGCAGAAGAUGCGUCGGGUCAUGGCUGUCGGCGGCCCCAACACCCAAUGGAAUGGCGGUGUUGCCGGCGAUGAUGAUAAUCCCCUGGCGGAGCAUUACCCUGGCAGCGACACCUCCUAUGCAUCCUUUGAGCACAUGGCCAACGGCAAUAAUUUUCUGAAUGGUAUGGUUCUCAUAAGCUGUUAUCCUAAUUCGUCAAUCAAAUUCAUGUUUUGUUUUUGAAUCAUUUUGCUCAAUGAAUACUCAUCUAUCUGUUCCAUUAAGCUGAGUACCAUUGAGUACCACUGUUCACUUGUUCAAUUCUUGAGAUUUCUGUCCUGGUAAUAUUCUGAAUUAGAUUAGAACAACUUUAGCUGGAAAAUCUGAGCUGAUUGUUCUACACCCAGCAUUCACUAAAUUUGGGACUGCUGAUUGCUUAAUCUUCAAACUCUAUGCCCAAUUUUUGCCGACCUUCACUUCUGUUCCUCUGGAUCAUCAGCUGACGAACUAAUAUGUCCUGAUCAACAAUAAGAAAAGCAUGUACAAUAUUUAUGGAAACAGAGCAAAGGCAUCCAAUCAGUGAGAGUAAAAAAGGACUCAUGCAAGAGCACUUUGAUUAGAAUUGCUAGUACCAUAGUUUAGAUUCAGAGCAGGCUGCCCAUUAUUGUAAAUCUGAGUUAAAAUUCAGCAUCUGUACUUGAGCGCUUGCAGUUGCUUGAGAAAUUGUUACUGCCUACUACUAUUCAUCGACUGAAAACAGGCUGCUCAUUAUUGUGAACAUGAGUUCUGCUUUCUUUUUUCACAGCUUGAGAUAUGAGCUUCAAGUCACUCAUAGUCUCCAGUGUCAUGCUCUGGAAAUCCUGCUUCAGGUGGAGCUGUGCUCGAUUUUCCUAGCAGUGAAUCAUUUUCCGAUGCUUCAAUUGUUGGGUUAUUUGCAAUAAGAUUCCCUCUGUUCAUAUUCUCAAGAAUAUUCUCAAAGUUUUGCCCUUCUUGACUUAUGUUUCAAAGCAUGCUUAAUAUGAUCAACAGUAUAGGGAUAGGAGUCACAGAACAGGAAUAACCACCAUGAUUCUCAAACCUUUACUAUGACAAUGUUGCUUGAGUAAUUGGGAUAGGAGUCCCAGAACAGUUGCUUGAGUAAUUCAGCAUCUAGUUAGGAUGUUGCAGGAAAACAAGUCCUAACCAAAUAAUUUAGUCAUAUAACUGAGCUGACAAAACUAAUUUGGAAAAAAGUUUUGAGAUAUCCAGGCUGCAGCAGCAGCUCUCCCACGUAGAAAAAGAUAUCAAGGCUGACAAACUUACAUUCUCCAAUUUGUAGCAUUAGAAAAAGAAAGGAGCAUCAUAAAACAACUUUGAAAAAGCAGAAGAUACCAGACUGACAAGCGAGCCAUUCUCAAGUGACAAUACCAUUAUAAUUGGAAAGACAAAAUCUUAUUAAUGCCAGGUCAAAAUUCUAAAACCGAGAGCAAUACUUGCGCGAAUUCUGAAAUGGAAUAACCCAACAGAUAUGUUGUUUGACUGAUACAAAAGUACAGAGAUAGUGAGGACAUCUGGUAGUUCUUACAGAAGAAAUGGAAGUGGAAUCCAACUAAAAAUAAUAUAUUUACCUCUGUUCAUCAGCAUGGUAGAAUUACUACUGCUCUAUAUGUUAUGUUCAUUGAGGUUUGAUAGAUAACUUAUCAAUGAUUAAAUGCUUGCAGGAAAUAGAUAUUUUUCCAACAUGAUACUGGAUGAAACCAAUCAAGAAGAUUUUGAUAAUUAUAGCAACACAUAUGCUGACCAACAAUCACAGGCAAUUGAAGAAGUUCCAGCAACCCCAUCCACGAGGUCAAACCAUAAGAUAUCCAAGAAUUUUAGUGACCACAAAGAUGAGGUUUUGGUUUCAGGGUGGCUGAAUGUAAGCUUGGAUCCAAUCGUAGGCAAAGAUCAAAAAAGUGCCAAGUAUUGAUCUCGUAUAUAUGAGUACUUCAAUGAACACAAGACGUGCCCCUCAAUGCAUACCAUAAAUUCUCUCAUGCACUGGUGGGCAUACAAAAAUGUGUGAACAAGUUUUGUGGAUGUCUAUCACGGAUUGAGUUAAGACUUCAGAGUGGUACUUAUUCACUAUGCAAUACAAGGAUUUGUUUCAAAUAUUUUACAUUUAUACAUCAUAUAUGAAUAUCCAUUGGAUGUUGGUGUGCGCAAGUUGCAGAGGCAUGUGCUUUGUACAAGUCCGAAGAUGAACAUAAAAAAGCAUUCCAGUUCAUGAAUUGGAAUAAGCUAAGAACACAAUCAAAAUGGCUUGCUAAAAUUGAUGAAUUGGCUGCAGAAGACAAGCUCAAAUGUUGGCCCAAGUGCAAGUUUACCAAGUGAAUUAGGAGAAGGUGAGGUUCAAGGCAUAGAGGAUAAUGUAUUGACAAGGCCAAUUGGUAAGAAGAAAACAAAAGCAGCACUGCUGCAAGAGAAGAAAAAAAUUAUGACAGCAACCUUAGAAAAUAUGUGGGCACAGAAGAAAGAAACUGAUGGGGAGAAAGAGCUAAAAAAAGAGGAGAAGUUUAACAAAGCAUUUGCUCUUGAACAUGAUCGAGUUGCUCUUGAACAUGAUCGAGUUGCAAAUGAAAAACUACUUCUUGAGUUGAGGAGCCAGGAGGUCCAGUUGCAGAAAAGGAGGGAUGAAGAGAGGAUUAUGACCACGGACCUUACUGCCACGCCAGAUGAGCAAAAGAAAUACUACAUGUCCUUACGGGCUGAGAUCAUGAGCCGACUAUCUAUGCCUAGUGCUUAAUUACUAUCAUGUUUGUUCUGUUGAUUUAGGAACUCUUUUCCAAUUUCAGACUUGUUUUAUUUACUUUGAACCUAUCGAUGAUUUGGUCUGUUUGAUAUUGAACGGUAAAGCCAUUUAGAAAUUUCAGACUUGUUCUGUUCUGCUAAUGAUGGCUUACUUGGUUUGGUAAUUCAGUGAUGCUUUAUGUUGCUUGCUGCAAACAUGAGAGAGUGGUGUUCUGAAGCAAACUGCUUGGUUUGCCUUGUAAUGUCAGGCAUCAUAAUUUUGCACUCUACAAACUUAAGAGGCAGUAUGCAAACAUCCAAUAAAUUAGUAGUAAUGUACCAACAAAUUGUUUAUAUCUGUAUGGUUUAUCUCAAAUUACAAAAAAAAUUUGUAACGUAGCAAAAAUUAUUAAAAGUAACAAUUACUAUGAACUAUAGGCAAUUAUUUGUAGAGGUCUGGAUGAUGUUGCCACAUGUGCUCAAUGAGGUCAUCUUGAAGCUGAUAAAUAUCUUUGUCCCUUAUAUUCUUGUAAUUUUUAAUAAACUCCUCAAGUUCAGGUAUUUCAUCGUGAGAAAUCUUCACCUUUUCUCCCACCCUAUUAUAGUUUAAAUCAUCUUCCUCAUCGCACUCAUCCUCAACUAUCAUGUUGUGCAUAAUGACACAAGCCCUCAUGAUUUGCCUAAGGGUGUCUUGAUCCCAAAAUCGAGCUGGCCUCCUAACGAUAGCGAAACGAGACUGUAGAACCCCAAACGCUCGUUCCACGUCCUUCCUUUAAGCUUCUUAGAUAGUUGCAAAAUAUUUUUUCUUGUUACCUUGUGGUUCAGGUAUGCUCUUCACAAUUAUGGCCCACGAGGGAUAUAUGCCAUCAGCAAGAUAAUAACCCAUUGUAUAUUCAUUGUUAUUAAUGGUAUAAUUCACCUUUGGAGCUUGACCUUCAGCUAGUCGUGCGAAUAAAGAAAACUGGUGCAAAACAUUGAUAUCAUUGUGGGAACCAGUCAUCCCAAAGAAAGCAUGCCAAAUCCAAAGAUCUUUAUCUGCAACAGCUUCAAGUAUAAUUGUAGGCUCAUGCACAUUCCCGGUAUACAUACCUUGCCAUGCUGAAGGAUAAUUUUUUCACCUCCAAUGCAUACAAUCAAUCGACCCAAGCAUACCAGAAAAACCUCUACUCUCUCCAAUGGCAAGUAAUCUAGCAGUAUCAUCUUCAUUAGGUGAUCUCAAGUACUCAUCUUCAAAAACCUCAACAACAGCAUUGACAAACCUUCUUAAACUCUCAAUAGCAGUACUCUCACCAAUACGGACAUAAUCAUCUAUAGCAUGAGCUACUACUCCAUAAGUUAACAUGCGAAAUGCUGCAGUAAUCUUUUGCAGACUAGAAAGGCCAAGUACACCGGCAGCGUUUCUUUUCUGCACAAAAUAUUCAUCGUGUUGCUCUAUCCAUAUACGUACAAAUAGUGUAAGCCUCAUUUGAAACCUGCAUGUCAAGAGUAAUGAGACACAUGUAUAAUAUGAAUUUUUUGAAAAAAUGGUCCAAAUAAAUCUAUUGUUUACGUACCGUCGUCUAAAAUAACUAUGUCCGUACGUAGGAUUAUCUAAAAAAUAAUCUUGAUACAACCUUUGAUGUCCUGCUUGUCUGUCUCGCCGAAGUACUCGAUGACCUAUGAUAGAACCAUGAUGUUUUAUUUCAUCAUCGGACUCAUCCGCAUCCACGGCCAUAUGAGCAACAGAGAGUAAGAAAUCAUCAUCGUCAUCAUCUGACAACGAAUCCAGCACCAGAUGCAUUGAAAGGCUUCGUCGACUCAUAGCGAAUCUUGGACGGUCGGCACCAGAUGCAGAGGCUGCCGGCGUUGCACGACGCACGCAGUGCGCAGGGGCCUUCCCCAAGUGGCAUGAUUAGGAACCGGAUAAGAAAGGACCUGCGCAAGGGCUCCAGUAUCGGCGUUUGGAGGAGGGCGCCGUGUGCAGCUGCCAGUCUGGCGGCGAUGGCAGCUGUGAUCGUGAGGAGGGGAUGGGAAAAAAGGGCCGUGCGCAAGGGCUGGGAAAAUAGGGCCGUGCGCAGCUGCUGUCUGUGGCGUAAUCGUGAUGAGCGUCUACGGCGUGAUCAUGACGAGGCUGGGAAAAAAGGCCGGCGACGCGAGGGUUCCCAAGGUGCUGAAAAAACAACAGAUUCUAAUGAGUCCAAUACGAUGACGUGGCAUGUUUUGAAUUAUUGGAGAAAGUUUUUAACGAUAUGCUAUGAGCUCAUAUAUUUUAGGGGGAAAAGUUUUUAGCAUAACCCUCAAUAACUCAUUUUCUAAGAGAGCUCUUGGAGUUGCUUUGCAGAGGGUUUUUUUUGCACAACAAAUUACAUCUGGAAUCCAUUUACAGGUGAAACAACCUACAAGAUUCCCAAACAGUCGAUGCACACAGAUCCGGAACCUAAAUCAAAAUUGAGAUAAUUUUCCAUAUGUAUCCCCCACAUUUACAGCCAGCAACCGUAUUUUCGCCCUACCAGCUGCACGUACCGGCCCUUAGCCGUGUCACGUGUUACAGCCAUCGAUCCCAAAGAUCCCGAGAAGCUCAGACGGUGGCAAGCUUCUUGCCGAGGAUCAUGUCGUCCGUGGUGAAGUCGGCGGCCUUCCGGAACGUGCCGCGGCCGAAGUCGAGGUUGUACGAGUCGGUGAGCCCCUCGACGAGGUCGAACUCCGGCGUCCACCCAAGCUCCCUGGUCGCCUUCUCGAUCGACGCGAAGAAGUGCUGGAAAUUAAAAUCACCCAGCGUCACAAACACAAGCCAGCUCUCAUCUAUCACUAGUAACACUGAGGGAUCUCUAUCUUUGUACCUGGUCCCUGAACGGGAAGGCCUUCUUCUUGCCGAAGUCGAAGUCCUUGGGGUUGUAGUGGACGAGCUCCGGCUCAGGGAACCCUCCAGCCUGCACAUCAAACAGCCACAUCCAUUGCUGAAUCGCUGAACUCUGAACAUCACUAUUUCUUGUUCUUGGCGAGAUCUCUCAUUACCUUUGCGCAGGCCCGUGCGAGGCCGUCGAAGGUGACGUACUUGGCCCCGGAGAUGUUGAAGAUCUGCUGGCUCGCCUUGGGGUUGCCGAGCACCAGGUUGAACGCCGUGGCCAGGUCCUUGACAUGGCCGAGCUGGGUGAUCUGGUUGCCGGCGCCGGGGAUGGGGAUGGGGCGGCCUUCCUUGAGGCGGUGGAAGAACCACUCCUCGACGGGGUUGUAGUUGAGCGGGCCGUAGAUGUACACGGGCCUGAUCGACGUCCAGUUCACGCCGCGGGAGGUCAGCAGGCUCUCCGUCUCCAGCUUCCCCUUGUGACGGCUCUUGGGGUCCACCGCAUCGCUCUGCCGGCCAAGAACAAUGGUGAGAGCCCCUGGCGCCAUUUUAAUGGUGCCAUUGUGUGACAGAGAGGAUUUGGACAAACCUCGCAGUGUGGAAGAAGGUCGGAUUUCAGGUACACUCCGGCUGAUGAGCAGUAGAUGUACCUGGAAGUUGAUUUUUUGGAAUUUGGGACGAUGAGAGAUGCAUUGGGGGGGUACUGUAUGUAGCUUGUGAAGUGUCAGAUGAAGUGGUUAUAGCUUACUGUUCCAGGUUGGGCAAGGCUUCGAUUAUGGGCUCAACUUCGACAGCCUCGCGUCCUGAAACCACCGUGAGGCAAAAUGCAUCAACAGCAUGAUGCUACACAAUGUUAAUGCUUUGGCGAAAUGCGAUUGACGAUGUGGUGCUAUGCAAUGCUAACUUUUUACUAAAACCUUUCCUAAAACAGACUACUAAGGGUGAUUGCAGAAGAGCACUUUCACGGUGCCCACAGAAUUAGCAUACUGGUUUGCACCUGAGCAGGUUCUUUACAGUCUAUGUAUAGAGUUUUGGACUUUCAGUUGUAGUUAUUUAAGCUUCGAAUAGUAUUACCGUUGAUGUCGUAAACGACAUUGUAUCCCUUAGCAGCAAGGCUUGUCUUGACGAAUUCGAAGUCCAUCCUGUCACCUUUCAAGUGCUGAAUCUGUACAGAUGCAAACCAUCCCAAACCCAGCAUCAAUACGGAUGAACUUGUGAUUUCGGUAACACUUUUAUACUGUCCUAAACAGUAUGAUAUCCUCUAUACCUUUAGUAUCCUUACAUUCUUACACGCACAUUACAUGUGAAGAAUCCUACUGAAUACUGACACAGUGUAUACAUAUGAAGAAAAGAGGAGGAAACAGGGCACCUUGGAGGAGAACUCUGCGUACUCUGCAUCGGACUCUCCUGGCAGCUGCUGGGUGAUGGGUGCCUUUCCUCUAGUGAACAAUGUAACCUGACCAAACAGAACUUCAACUUUUUUUUUUAAAAAAAAACUCUUUCUUUUAACUGACUGUACUAUUGCUUGGCCUACUGAUCAUUGCUGAGCAAAGGCACUACUGACCUGAUGGCCCUCCUUGACAAGGAGCCUGGACAGGAAGACACCAAUGAACCUGGUUCCCCCCAUGACAAGAAUGUUCUUGGAGUCCGCAGCCGCCGAGACCUGAAUCCUCGCCCCUCUCGGCUGCCAUGACCUCCUCCUCUUCUGCCAAACAAAAAUUUCCCACCCCUCAACCACGUCAGGUUCAUCGGCAUGCCGGAAUACGUCACGCUCACUUAUCAACAAAGGCAUUCCUGUUCUGCGGAUUUUGUCACCUGCGUUGAGACGGAGACGGCCGCGCCGCUGAAGUCGGAGAUAGGAGAUGGGAGGAGGAAGCUGCUCUUCAGGGACGCCGUGGCCGCCAUGUCGCUCUUCCUCCGCUCUACUAUAAAACGAAGAAGAAAACAAGAGAGAGAAGGAUUGAUGGCUGUGUAUCGCUUGUCUGGAUCUUGUGGUUCAGUCUGUGCUAAUGGAACAAGGAAAGAGGAGAGAAAUGAGGUGAUGGGACGGUUUUGGCGUGUGUGGAGGGGGAAGCCAGCCCUAUCCUCUGUUGGAUCAUCUCCUCUCGUUCUUUCAUCUGUCCACUUGUUGGCAGCUUGCUGAUCGGCUGAUACUGAUAGCGACAUCUUUGUUCUAGGACAAACCAUGGGUGAGAAGGACUAAAGGUGUGUCCAAUCGUUGUUCGUUUAAACAUAUAUUGUAGCUCAAUUUGCUAUUGGGCAAUUGCUAGCAUUCCUCUAAUAAAAAAUAUACAGUUAUUAAAGUGGGAAUAAUUUUAAAAAAAUGCCAUAAAAGACAUAUGAUUGGAAAUUUCUAUUUGAUGCACCACGGAACCAGACACUUUGCCGAGUACCACAGACACUCGACGAAGACACGAAAACACUCGGCAAAGGCUUUGCUGAGUGUAACAUUCGGCAAACAGCAUACGGCAAAUUUCCUGUCGGCAAAGACUAGUUUGCCGAGUGUCAAAACUCGAGCACUCGGCAAACAUUUUGCCGACGGCCAAAAAACACUCGGUGAAAAUAUGUACUCGGUGAAAUACGCGCUGACGGCGUCGGGGGUAACGGCGGGUUUGCCGAGUGCCAGACGGUAGACACUCGGCAAAACCGGCUUGUUUGCCGAGUGCCUUGUCCCUGGCACUCAGCAAACAAGGGGUCUUUGCCGAGUGCCUUGUCCCUGGCACUCGGCAAACAACUUGCGCUGCACCAGGGAAUUAGAGCCUUUGCCGAGUGCUUUGUCCCUAGCACUCGGCAAACAAGGGGUCUUUGCCGAGUGCCUUGUCCCUGGCACUCGGCAAACAACCUGUGCCGCACCUGGGAAAUGCACCUUUGCCGAGUGUUAAAGCCAAAACACUUGGCAAAGGACUCUCUUUGCCGAGUGUUACACUCGGCAAAGUGACCAGAACCCUCCCUUUUUCCCAUUUUCCCACGUAUAACGGACCCCUCUCAAUUCACAAUACACAUCAUCACAGGCAUUUGUAAUAAACAAUCACAUGCAUAAUUCACAACCACCAUUAGAAACAUUAUUCAUAAACAUCACAGGCAUAAUUCAACAUAAGCACAAAACAAUCCAUAAAUCCAAGUUCAAGUCACAAUUUAGUUCACAACCAAGUCUAGUUCUGUGGAGGCCAAGGAGACCACUGCGACAAAUCUUGAUCUUCAUUAUUCGAAGCCGCCGAUUGAUUCUGCACAUAGGAUAGGACAUUCUGAACUAACAUCUAAAGUUGUCAAAAUUAAAGUAUUGAAUCUUAAGCACAAUGUGUCAAGUGACUCACAGGAGUAGUCGUGGGUGGCUGAGGCGGAGGGAACAUCAUCGGCGGUGGUGGAGGCAAAGACUGUCCCAUGCUUGAAGCAAAAUUCUGCAUGUACUGGAACAUCUGCUCCAUCCUAAUCCGGUUUUCUUCCUCCAUCCUCCGCCGCAUGUCCUCCAUCUGCGCCACCAUCUCCUCUUGUUUCUUCCUUGCUUCUUCCACCUGGACCUACAAUAUUUCAUUGCAAUGUUAUAAUGCAAAGCUAAAGUAUAACAACAAACGAACGAUGAAUGGAAGAGAAAGAACCUGGAGAGCCUCCAUCUGGAACUGUGCAGUGGUGGGUCGUGGCCGUAUCGCCGGGCUCGAGUCCGUGCUCCUAGCUCGGAUCUGGGAGAGAGUGGGAGUAGAGGCCGUGUCGAUGACGCCGUCGCCAAUCCAAUAUCGGCUAUGCUUCUUGCCUCCUCCCACCCUCAUCACGAUUUCUCCAUCAAUGUCCUCGGAGCUCGGAUCGAAGUCUGGCCCAUGAAGCUCCCUAGCCAUCUUUGUAUACUCGUUGAAGCGGCUGUGUAUGCUAGGGUGGCUGUACGCCUCGGACGGGUCGUCUGGGUUGAAAUCGAUAUCGGCCGUCGCCUUGCCCUUUUUGGAGAGGACCCAUGCCUUGAGCUGGGAGCAAGGUCGGCCAUCAUGUGACGCCGACUGCGGCAAAAAAUACAAAAUGAUUAGGAAUUAUGUAGAACUGAACGUUACAAUAAACAAUUGAAGUUGCGUACCCAUUUUUCUCUAUAUUCAUCAAGGCUUAGGCUGCCUUGAUGGUGUGGUGCAGUCGGCAUCUGCAAACGCCGCUGCCGGCAAGCAAGGUGGUUCUCCAACC
rnacentral:lncRNA from 1 species